GAUGAACGCUAGCGGCAGGCCUAACACAUGCAAGUCGAACGGUAACAUGAGAGCUUGCUCUUGAUGACGAGUGGCGCACGGGUGCGUAACGCGUAUGGAACUUACCCCAAACUGGAGAAUAGCCUUUAGAAAUGAAGAAUAAUACUCCAUAGUAUUCCGAGAAGGCAUCUUCUUGGUCUUAAAGCUUCGGCGGUUUGGGAUAGCCAUGCGUUCUAUUAGUUAGUUGGUGAGGUAACGGCUCACCAAGACCGCGAUAGAUAGGGGGCCUGAGAGGGUUGUCCCCCACACUGGUACUGAGACACGGACCAG
rnacentral:rRNA from 1 species